GAUGAAGAACGUAGCGAAAUGCGAUAAGUAAUGUGAAUUGCAGAAUCCAGUGAAUCAUCGAAUCUUUGAACGCACAUUGCGCCCGCCAGCAUUCUGGCGGGCAUGCCUGUUCGAGCGUCAUUUCAACCAUCAAGCCCCAGGCUUGUGUUGGGGACCUGCGGCUGCCGCAGGCCCUGAAAACCAGUGGCGGGCUCGCUAGUCACACCGAGCGUAGUAGCAUACACAUCGCUCAGGGCGUGCUGCGGGUUCCGGCCGUUAAACCCCUUUUUUACCCAAGGUUGACCUCGGAUCAGGUAGGAAGACCCGCUGAACUUAAGCAUAUCAAUAAGCGGAGGA
rnacentral:misc_RNA from 1 species